UACCGGGGUGGAGCAGCCUGGUAGCUCGUCGGGCUCAUAACCCGAAGGUCGUCGGUUCAAAUCCGGCCCCCGCAACCA
rnacentral:tRNA from 1 species